rnacentral:rRNA from 1 species
UACGUAGGGUGCAAGCGUUGUCCGGAAUUAUUGGGCGUAAAGAGCUCGUAGGCGGUCGUCCAAGUCGCGUGUGAAAGCCCCCGGCUCAACUGGGGAGGGUCACGCGAUACUGGUCGACUCGAAGGCAGGAGAGGGUAGUGGAAUUCCCGGUGUAGUGGUGAAAUGCGUAGAUAUCGGGAGGAACACCAGUGGCGAAGGCGACUACCUGGCCUGUUCUUGACGCUGAGGCGCGAAAGCUAGGGGAGCAAACGGG